rnacentral:rRNA from 1 species
UACGAAGGGGGCGAGCGUUGUUCGGAUUUACUGGGCGUAAAGGGCGCGCAGGCGGUCUUGAAAGUCAGGCGUGAAAGCCCCGGGCUUAACCUGGGAAUUGCGCUUGAUACUCUGAGACUGGAGUACGGGAGAGGAGAGUGGAAUUCCCAGUGUAGAGGUGAAAUUCGCAGAUAUUGGGAAGAACACCAGUGGCGAAGGCGGCUCUCUGGACCGUAACUGACGCUGAGGCGCGAAAGCGUGGGGAGCAAACAGG